UGGCAGUGCAUUUCAGUAUGAGAGUGGCUUUCUGUAUGCCUUUGUCUAAGAAGCUGUUCUCUUUGGACAGAGGUAUCUUUUAUGAAAGACCCAAGGAUAUACCCAAGGUAAACAAAACUGUCCCAACAUCACAAAGAGGUUUUCACAAGGAAACAUCAGAAAAGUAAAGGUAGCAAAGAGGAAGUUGGAUAACCAACAUUUCCAUAGAAAUACAAAUUCAUACCAGCUAAAUAUCGACUUGCAAAAAUCCUCCCAGCAAGGACACAGUCGAACAGCACAGGUAGUGAGCUAACUUGAGUGACUAGUCUCCAGGGUAAUAGCCUAGCCGGGGCCCCACCUCUGGUAAUUGCAGAGACUCUGACAGGCUACACCUGAGCAGUUUUGCCACCGUGCCUCUCUGUAGCCAAUGCUUGCUUCUGCACCACGCACGCGCACACAGGUUUGGUGGAGGGAUGUGCUGCAGUUUGUGGAGGGUACAGGCCCUGGGCUCGUGCACAUGUGGCACUAGCCAAGGUCCUGGAUUCAAAUGAUGGAUCUCUGUGUCUGUAACUAGACGUGCGACCGCAUAAAACAGUCAGCCAGUGGGACCAAGCGCCGGGUGUUCAUCAUUGAGACCAUGGGCGGAUACUGUGGCUACCUGGCCAACAUGGGGGGACUUGCAGCGGGAGCCGAUGCUGCCUACAUCUUUGAAGAACAAUUUGAUAUCCGAGAUUUGCAGUCCAACGUCAUGCACUUGACGGAGAAAAUGAAGACAGCGAGGGGAGGGGCCUUGUCCUCAG
rnacentral:lncRNA from 1 species